UCUUUUAAUGCACAUUGAGCUUGGUGCUUUUCAAUUUGAAUUUAUCGUCAUAGAAUGAUAGAUCACUUUGAAUUUGUCUACCUAUCUCACUAUAUGAUUCUGUAGACAAAGACAUCUUAAGAACUGAUUCAAAGAAGAACAAAGAUGGAUGACAUAGAACAAGACUUUACCAGCGAUCUAAAAAAUGUCAUAAAAAUUGAGAUGUUAGAAUCAUCUUUCGACCCAGAGACACAGACAUCUGAAGACCAAAUUCUUCCAAAAUCCAUGAUGACAGACACAGAGCAAGACUUCACCAAUG
rnacentral:sRNA from 1 species